ACCAGGUGAUCGCUCUGUGCCGGCAGGUUCGGCAUGGAGAGGAAAGUCCGGACUCCACAGGGCAGGGUGUUCCGUAACGCGGAGUUCCCGGUGACGGGAAGGGCGCUGCAACAGAAAAUACACAGCCGUUCUGCAAAGCAGAGCGGUAACGGUGAAAUGGCGGGGUAAGAGCCCACCGGUUCGGCGGCAACGCCGGACGUCCGGCAGACCCACCCGGAGCAAGGCCAUGUAAAUCCCGUUUCUCUAUUAUGGUUCGCCAAAACAGAGAAGAGAGCUGUCCGUUCAAUUUCCCUUUGGGAAGACGGGAAGGGUAGGCCGCAUCCCGAAAAUUUGGGAUCCCGACUUAGUCGGGAAGUUAAAUGAUCACCCUGUCUCACAAGUAUUUCACUUGCGGGACGGACAGAAUUCGGCUUAUCGGUUUACUU
rnacentral:RNase_P_RNA from 1 species